CGACCCCAGGUCAGGCGGGACUACCCGCUGAGUUUAAGCAUAUAAAGUGGCGGAGGAGAAGAAACUUACAAGGAUUCCCCUAGUAACGGCGAGCGAACCGGGAACAGCCCAGCUUGAGAAUCGGGCGGCUGUGCCGUCCGAAUUGUAGUCUGGAGACGCGUCCUCAGCGACGGACCGGGCCC
rnacentral:ncRNA from 1 species